AUACGGAGGAUGCAAGCGUUAUCCGGAUUUAUUGGGUUUAAAGGGUGCGUAGGCGGAUGAUUAAGCGUGAGGUGAAAUGCCACUGCUCAACAGUGGAACUGCCUCGCGAACUGGUUGUCUUGAAUGCUCCUGCCGUGGGAGGAAUGUGUGGUGUAGCGGUGAAAUGCAUAGAGAUCACACAGAACACCGAUUGCGAAGGCAGCUCACGAAGGGGUGAUUGACGCUGAGGCACGAAAGCGUGGGGAUCAAACAGGAUUAGAUACCCGGGUAGUCCACGCAGUAAACGAUGAUAACUAACCGCUGGGUCGUAGUGAUUCAGUGGCCAAGCGAAAGCGAUAAGUUAUCCACCUGGGGAGUACGACCGCAAGGUUGAAACUCAAAUGAAUUGACGGGU
rnacentral:rRNA from 1 species